rnacentral:sRNA from 2 species
UCUCUGUACGGGAAGGAUGAGAAGCUUCGACUAAGGUUCGAUUCGAGCGCAGCGAGAAAGCGUUGCCGCAGGCAACGACCCGAAGGGCGAAGCGCGCAGCGCUGAGUCAUCCUUCCCCCACCACCA